GGGCUUAUAACUCAGUUGGUUAGAGUGUACCCUUGAUAAGGGUAAAGUCAAUGGUUCAAGUCCAUUUAAGCCUA
rnacentral:tRNA from 1 species